rnacentral:rRNA from 1 species
UACGUAGGUGGCAAGCGUUGUCCGGAAUUAUUGGGCGUAAAGCGCGCGCAGGCGGCCUUUUAAGUCUGAUGUGAAAGCCCACGGCUCAACCGUGGAAGGUCAUUGGAAACUGAAAGGCUUGAGUACAGAAGAGGAAAGCGGAAUUCCACGUGUAGCGGUGAAAUGCGUAGAGAUGUGGAGGAACACCAAUGGCGAAGGCAGCCUUCUGGGCCAACACUGACGCUCAUGCACGAAAGCGUGGGGAGCAAACAGG